rnacentral:rRNA from 1 species
CCCUCCCUCUUUCUUCCUGCCUAACACAUGCAAGUCGAACGAGACCUUCGGGUCUAGUGGCGCACGGGUGCGUAACGCGUGGGAAUCUGCCCUUGGGUUCGGAAUAACUCGCCGAAAGGCGUGCUAAUACCGGAUGAUGACGUAAGUCCAAAGAUUUAUCGCCCAAGGAUGAGCCCGCGUUGGAUUAGCUAGUUGGUGAGGUAAAGGCUCACCAAGGCGACGAUCCAUAGCUGGUCUGAGAGGAUGAUCAGCCACACUGGGACUGAGACACGGCCCAGACUCCUACGGGAGGCAGCAGUGGGGAAUAUUGGACAAUGGGCGAAAGCCUGAUCCAGCAAUGCCGCGUGAGUGAUGAAGGCCUUAGGGUUGUAAAGCUCUUUUACCCGGGAUGAUAAUGACCGUACCGGGAGAAUAAGCUCCGGCGAACUCCGU